UACAGAGGUCUCAAGCGUUGUUCGGAUUCAUUGGGCGUAAAGGGCGCGUAGGCGGCGGGGUAAGUCGGGUGUGAAAUCUCAGAGCUCAACUCUGAAAUGGCACUUGAUACUGCUCUGCUAGAGGACUGGAGAGGAGAUUGGAAUUCACGGUGUAGCAGUGAAAUGCGUAGAUAUCGUGAGGAAGACCGGUGGCGAAGGCGGAUCGCUGGACAGUUCCUGACGCUGAGGCGCGAAGGCCAGGGGAGCAAACGGG
rnacentral:rRNA from 1 species